UGUAAGCGUAUACCAAAGUUGUUGCAGUUAAAACGCUCGUAGUCGGAAUUUGGCAGUUCCGGAUGUGUGCACGUCGUGUGCGCACUUCGCGGGGAUUGCUUUUGUGGUCUUGCGUAGGAUGAGGCACUUUUAUUAGUGAACGUCCUCACGCAACCACUUUUUACUGUGAGAAAAUCAGAGUGCUCAAAGCAGGCAUUUGCCGUGAAUGUAUUAGCAUGGAAUAAUAGAAUAGGACUUGGUUCUAUUUUGUUGGUUUGUUGGGACUGAGUAAUGAUUAAGAGGGACAGUUGGUGGCAUUUGUAUUUCGGUGCUAGAGGUGAAAUUCUUAGAUUACCGAAAGACAAACUGCUGCGAAAGCGUCUGCCAAGGAUGUUUUCAUUGA
rnacentral:rRNA from 1 species